GUCCCCUUAGCUCAGCGGAUAGAGCGCUUGGCUUCGAACCAAGAGGUCGGGGGUUCAAAUCCCUCAGGGGACA
rnacentral:tRNA from 1 species